rnacentral:lncRNA from 1 species
GGCCAAAGGCCCUACAUCUGGGCAGUGAUGGACCUCUGGGAGCUAGAGAAGAAGAAAAAGUCGAAGGAGAUGAAGAAAAAAAAAACCCAACAGUGAAUAACUCGGAAGACUUUCCAACAUGUGGGUGUUUUUCUGGGACCAAAGAUCAGGAAGAUUCCAAAUGUAAACAAUCCCAAAAUAACCCAGUUCCCCCAAACCCCAGGCAUUCCCAGGACUGGUUGUCCAUGCUCCCUCCCUUCCCCGCUGGGAACUGGGGUCAGGAAGAGGUGGUAAGGCUGAGGCUCUGCAUGAGGUUGCUGGGGUAGGGCCUUCAGCACUGUGUGAGCUCUGUGAGCAUAAGUGGAUCUUGUCAUUAGAGAACUUUGGUGUCCUUUCUCUUGGGAGAGGGGCUUCUUGGUGCCACAUUGGACCAGCUCUCCAUGAGAUAAGGGGUUUCUUUGCCUGGUUAUAUCUCAUUGUGCUUAAACCAAACUCUUGGGACUUCUCGCCAGCACAGUGUAAUGGAAAGAAUAUGGACUUUGAAGUCACACAGGGUUGGAAUCUUGGCUCCACAGCUUAUUAAUUGUGUGGCCUUGACUGUGUUAUUUCGCAUCUGGGAAUCUCAGUUUCUUCAUUUAAAACAGGAGUAAUA